CGUCAGUUCACUUGACUCCGUGGGAUAGGUUGUACGCGGUCCGCUUCUGCAACUUUAAUUUUUAUUUGCAAGAUUUCCUUCUUCCUCCUCGACUUUGUUUUCAUUCAUCUAUUAUUCAGGAAUCUUGAAGGACCAAUUAGUUUAGUGGUACGUCUUGGAAGGAUAGCGAGAUAUUGAUUGAAAGUGUGAUAAACUGGCUGGCAAUUUCAUAUUGAAUGUGUUUUAAGGAAUGAAAACAUAGUAAAGUUGGGAAAAUUCAUGGUUUCAAGUGACUAAUAUUUGUGUUCCCUUUUGUGUACAACUGUGGCGUUUCUGUGUGAAUAUAAUUGGAAGUUAAUUGAGCAUUGUUAUUAAAAAAAAUUUAAGGCGGACUGAGAAUUUUCGGAGCGAACAACCCGUGACAUUUUCUUGGUAUUCAGUGGCGUCGUAGGGAGACGCUCGUAAUUUCAUUCCCAUUUUCACUUACCGCAAUAAGUAUUGUUUCAACCGUGGCAGUUCUCGAGUGAUGGAAUAAGACAACCAGCGAGGUGGUUCAAUAUUUGAUGGCUGUGGUCGGUCCCAACCGCCACACAGGGGUGUCAAUGUCCGUGUCUAUGAGCUAUAUGCAGGGCACGACGGGCCCUACCGCCGGGGGCCAACAUGCUGCACAACCAUACUACCAUCCCCGACAUGCUGCAGCCCCUGCCCAUACCCAGGAGCAGGUACAACCUGACCGCCCCAUCGGUUAUGGAGCCUUCGGAGUUGUAUGGGCCGUAACAGAUCCCAGAGAUGGAAGGCGAGUAGCCCUGAAGAAACUGCCAAAUGUGUUCCAGUCCUUGGUGUCAUCGAAACGAGUGUUUAGAGAACUGAAAAUGCUGUGUUACUUCAAACAUCAAAACGUUCUUUCAGCUUUGGAUAUUCUACAGCCUCCCCACAUAGACUUUUUUCAAGAAAUAUAUGUGAUAACCGAACUACUGCAAAGCGACUUACAUAAAAUUAUAGUAUCACAUCAGCCUUUAUCACCAGACCACAUAAAAGUAUUUCUUUACCAGAUUCUCAGAGGUUUAAAGUAUUUGCAUUCAGCUAAAAUAUUACACAGGGACAUCAAACCUGGUAAUCUACUGGUCAACAGUAAUUGUGUUCUUAAGAUCUGUGAUUUCGGUUUGGCUAGGGUGGAGGAGCCAGAUAGGAAUAAAAACAUGACGCAAGAAGUUGUCACACAGUAUUACAGAGCGCCAGAAAUCUUGAUGGGAGCAAAGCAUUACACGGCUGCCGUGGACGUUUGGAGCGUUGGCUGUAUCUUUGGGGAGCUUCUAGGUAGAAGGAUACUAUUUCAGGCUCAGAAUCCAGUUCAACAGCUGGAACUCAUCACAGAACUCUUGGGUACACCCAGUUUAGAAGACAUGAAGUCUGCUUGUGAAGGUGCUAAAACUCACAUGCUCAGCAAAGCCCCAAAACCACCUGCACUUUCCGCCUUGUAUUCGCUAUCUACACAAGCAACUCAUGAAGUAGUUCAUUUGUUGUGUCAAAUGCUCGUCUUUGAUCCUGAAAAACGUAUAUCGGUGGUAGACGCCUUAGCUCAUCCCUACCUUGAUGAAGGUAGGUUAAGGUACCAUUCCUGUAUGUGUAAGUGUUGCUACACCACAGCAAGUGGAAUGAGACAGUACACAAGCGAAUUCGAGACUACAGCACCUCAGCCUUUUGAUGACACUUGGGAGAAGAAACUUACUUCUGUGCAGCAAGUAAAAGAGGAAAUGCACAAGUUUAUAGCAGAGCAGUUGAAUAACACUAGUCGAGUCCCUCUGUGUAUAAACCCACAAUCUGCGGCCUUCAAGAGUUUCGCAAGGUAAGACGGCCGCCAACGUCUCAGACCAGCGCAGCGCCAUUGCAUAGGUGACCACCGAUCACUUUACUCUUUUGGUUUCUACUGUCGCCCACCCAUCAGAGCUCCCGCCUUCCCCUCAUCAGUGGGAUGCAAAAAAUUGACGUUGGAGGCCUAGUAGAUAACAAAAUUUCUUGUAUAUUACUCCAUUUUCUUCUAUUCCUCUAAUCGAACAUCAUUGAAACGUAAUAGGAUGGGGAUUGCUCAUCAAACUAGAUAGAACAGGAAGUCGAAACAUUACACCAAAUAUUUUAUCAGGGAUUCCAUGCAAUGCAAAACUUAAUGGACAAUCGCGCUGCAACUAUUAAUUAUAUGUGUAUUUGUCGUGUAAAUUUUAGUAGCUCAAAGUGUGAUUCUAUAAUAGUACCAAUCUGACAAUUUAAACUGUAGAUCUGUUGGUUAGAAAACAGUGUACAGAUUUAAUCACUGCCUUGAUUUAUGUAGCUCCUUAGUAUAUUUAAGUUAUUUCAGACUGGCAGUUUAUUAUAGUCAAGUUGAUCAAAAACUAGAGGUUUACAUUAAAAUUGCGUUGAUAUAUCUUAAUGUUUAAACUCUCUACUAAUUUUGAUAUAGAUAGAUUAAUUUUUAUAUUUUUAUGAAAAUCAAACAAAAAAAUCAAAAAUGAGAAAAAAUCAAUAUCAUGAUUGAAGUUCGAAAACAAUUUCAGUAAAAUGUACAUAAAUAAAGGAACACUGGUUUCACGGGUAAAAAUAAUUGGCUGAUAAUCAAUUUAUCUGUACAUUACUAUAUCAGCCUUUUUUGGGUUCUUGUAUUCAAAAAUUUCUUAUCGAUUCAUACAAGAUUUAGGCCCAUAAUUAUUCAUAUUAGUAAUGAAAUAUAUCUUAUUUCAAAUGAACAAUUGGAUAACUGAGUAUGAAUUAUUUAGUAUUUUUAAAACAAAAUUUUGUCUGUAGAAUCUUUUGAUCAGCUUGUCUGCGCUGUAACCUGAUAUUUAUCCUUAAUUUAAGACUUUCAAGAAGACUGGAAACAUUGAACUACAUACCUGCAAAAAGUGCAGCUCUUCUAUUGCGAACAUUUUUUUUUAGUGAAUUCCAAUGACAGGGUUGCCAAAUCGUAGUCAGAUACAUAGCGUAUUCUGUGUGAAUUAAUUAAGUGUGCAAUGAGUCUAGUACGGACUUGAUUUGAAUCCAAAGUGUUCAUGUCAAUCUGAAGUUCACUUUCCGGUUUUGUGGUAUUUCAAUGAUUUGAUGUAAAUAUUGUUUUUAAGAUUCGUCUGUAACAUCGUGAUAACCACAUUUUAUUGAUUAAUAUGAAAGGCUUGUAAAUUAAACAUUGAUAAAAAUUUCUACUUGGCUUUUGCGUUGUUACAGUAGAUCGGUCGAUGUAUCUCCAAAUAUGUCGUUAAAAAAGGAAAAAAAAUGUAAAUUGUUCUGUAUAUAUUGAACAUUUCGUAGAAAAUGGUAUGCCUUCGAAAGUGAAUGACUUAUAUAACCUCAACUGAGUGUCAUUUCUUUGCAGAUAAUGUGAGACCAAUAACUUAGUGACGUUUGCAAAUUAGUGAAUUCAAAUUCACCUAACAAUUUGAAUGUAAAUAUUUGAAUUAAAACUGAAGUUUUACCUUUCA